UACGGAGGGUGCAAGCGUUGCUCGGAAUUAUUGGGCGUAAAGGGUAGGUAGGUGGUCUCAUUUGUCUGGGGUGAAAGCCUUGAGCUUAACUCGAGAAGUGCCCCAGAAACGGUGAGACUGGAGUCCUGGAGAGGGUCGUGGAAUUCCCGGUGUAGCGGUGAAAUGCGUAGAGAUCGGGAGGAACACCAGAGGCGAAGGCGGCGACCUGGACAGGCACUGACGCUGGGGCGCGAAAGCUAGGGGAGCAAACAGG
rnacentral:rRNA from 1 species